GUGAGACAGGUGCUGCAUGGCUGUCGUCAGCUCGUGUUGUGAAAUGUUGGGUUAAGUCCCGCAACGAGCGCAACCCUUAUCCUUUGUUGCCAGCGGUCCGGCCGGGAACUCAAAGGAGACUGCCAGUGAUAAACUGGAGGAAGGUGGGGAUGACGUCAAGUCAUCAUGGCCCUUACGACCAGGGCUACACACGUGCUACAAUGGCGCAUACAAAGAGAAGCGACCUCGCGAGAGCAAGCGGACCUCAUAAAGUGCGUCGUAGUCCGGAUUGGAGUCUGCAACUCGACUCCAUGAAGUCGGAAUCGCUAGUAAUCGUGGAUCAGAAUGCCACGGUGAAUACGUUCCCGGGCCUUGUACACACCGCCCGUCACACCAUGGGAG
rnacentral:rRNA from 1 species